rnacentral:rRNA from 1 species
UGGUGCAUGGUUGUCGUCAGCUCGUGUCGUGAGAUGUUGGGUUAAGUCCCGCAACGAGCGCAACCCCUAUUGUUAGUUGCCAUCAUUCAGUUGGGCACUCUAGCGAGACUGCCGGUAAUAAACCGGAGGAAGGUGAGGAUGACGUCAAAUCAUCAUGCCCCUUAUGACCUGGGCUACACACGUGCUACAAUGGUUGGUACAACGAGUUGCGAGUCGGUGACGGCGAGCUAAUCUCUUAAAGCCAAUCUCAGUUCGGAUUGUAGGCUGCAACUCGCCUACAUGAAGUCGGAAUCGCUAAUAAUCGCGGAUCAGCACGCCGCGGUGAAUACGUUCCCGGGCCUU